AUCAUCAAUUUUAAUUUCAAAGUUUUUUCUUUCAACUAUUUGGAUUGAUUGCUUAUUCUACAUGUAUAAAUAUGACCUACCUCAUUUCCAGUUCUUCAUCCCUUCGAACCGUUUUUCUUUUUUCUUACUAUUACAAUUUUCCCUUCUUUUACGAUUUACAAUGGCAGCGGCAAGACGCGAUUUUGCCUUCAUUUACUACACGGACUUAAUCCAGUAUGUAUUUGAGCUUCAAGAUGGACCUUGUGUAGUUAUUAGUGGUGCUAUGAUUGACAAUGAUGCUGGCACCAAUAAGGAUUAUUGGAAAUUCCUAUUCUAACAUGGAACCACUUAAAAGUAUUUUCUAUAAUUCCUAUACUAACAUGAGAACCUCUCUGAAGUGGCCUAAAAUCAUCUAUCUUUUUUCAGGGCUUUAAGGAAUCCAUAAACAAGGUGAAUACUCUUGCAACUUUUCAACAUCCAAAACUUUGUAAAUUACUAGGUUUUUACGCGCGCGAGAGUUUAUAACAUAGAAUGAUGGUAUAUGAAAGACUAUACCAUGGAAGCUUGGACUUCCAAUUUUAUGGUAGAUUUGAUGGACCAUCAAUUGAUUGGAAUACAAGAAUGAAAAUUGUAAUGUGUGUUGCACUAAGUCUUACUUUUUUACAUGAAGAAUUAGUAUGAAAUCAUAUUGGAUAUAUUGAACUUAAGAAACUUUAUGUUGUUAUGUCA